rnacentral:lncRNA from 10 species
AGUAGUGUGGGUGGACGAGGACAGCGGGUGGAACUGGUCCUUCUGUGACUUUGCAGCCCCGGCUUGGUGAUAAUUUUUGUGCAGGCUUCUUGACAUGGAAAGCAGAGCUCCCCAGCACAGAGUGAGCCUCCGAAGGGCUCCUGCCCUUACCGGUGCCCUACCCUCCCUUUCCCUGCUUGCUACACUUGGGUCCGGGACUCAGCCUCCCUUUGCAAGCUUCUGCUCGGCCUGUGUGCAGCUGCACUUAGCUGGCAGGGUCAGGCGUUGAGUAGCCGCUCCGCUCCUUCUGCAGCCUCCUGCAGCCCCCGCCAGCUCCCGGGCUCCAUCCCUCACCAUCAGUUGCUGAUUGGCGCCCCCUGCGUGCACAACGGAGGCUGGCUGCACCUGGAGGUUCCCAGCAAUUCCAGGCCGGCUCCAGCCUAGCCAAAGCAGCUAACUUCUCUGCUGUCUCGUGGGCUGAACCUCACCGUUUCCCAAGAGGUCUGAAUCCUUCUCAAGUUCGUCUUUUCCUAAGUUCUCCCUCGUAGCUCUAGGUUGCUUUGUAGAGUUUCCUUAUAUCUAUACUCUUCAUUGUAGUUAAUGACUCUGUGUUACACUUGUCCUGUUGAACUUACUGUGUAGUUUCUGUCUCUUGACUGGAUCAAGGCUCUCACAGGAGUCAAUCCCAGAAAAAUGAUGAGACAGUAGGGAAGAGAGAAAAGCCAAUAAACAGCAUGUUAAUGAGUAGGUCCCACCUGGGGCUCAGUCGCACUGGUGUCCCUCUGAGAGUAUGGGCACCACACACUUUGGCAUUGCCCCAGCAAGGCAAGGGGCAAGCAAGGGAGCUGGGUGUUUAUCUCCCAGGCAUUGCUUGAGGCUUGCUCUUGGGAAUGGUAGCUCCCUGGAACUUCUGUCCAGCCUGCAUAUCUGGACUGUGCAGGGGAUACUUCUAUGGCCAGAAAAAGCCCUUGGGCAGAGAGAAGCAGGUUCUUGAUGCUGAGAUGUCUGCGUGCUUGGGAGUUGACCACUGCAGCUGCAGGAGCUGCCUGGCAAUGGUAGCAGGUGAAGGUCAUGGUGAAGAAGAUGCAGAUAUUGGCAAUUUGGAGCAUUAGAUGAACUAAUUACAACGUUAACCUAAGGAACAGUGCAACAGAAAAUGGGCUAAGACAUGGAGCAAGGGGCAGAACGACUCUUGAAGAUGCUGAGCAACUUCUGAGAACAUUAACUGAAUACGUCAGAGACUCUGAUCAUGUCAGAGACCGAAGCAGAGAAACAGAGAACACUCAUCUUCCUUCUCAACCUGGCUCUGGAUGCCAACUGGCAACGCUGUGAACCAGUUUGGGCUUGGAGGGCUCAGAGGAAGCCACUUUUGGAAGGCAUUGGAAGCUGGUUUUUCAGAGCCUACUCUUUGCUACCCCUUUCUAUGUUGAAAAUAAAAAUGUAAAGCCUAAUUCAUAGUCACAACAACAAUGACACCAGGAAUAAAUCACAGACCAGAGUCCAAACAUCUGGUCACGUUGCUCAUCUACCAUCUGGUGGGUCUCCUCUCAGCUCUGUGUUCUGACUGCCAGUCAUCUCCCUUCUUCUCUGUCUUCACUGGCACUAUUCUAGGUUUAUAGUUUUGAAAUAGGUUCCUAACUGGUUGCUCUGCCUCCAGACUCUUAUACUGUAUACAGGUCCAGUGACAAAACGAUGGUUUGUUUUACAGUCCACAGAUACAUUUUACUUAUUUUUUUAAUGUCCAUAACACUCUUUGGAAUAAGAUUUAAAAAUUGAAAAAUCAGAUGAUUUUAUGUAAAAAUCCAUAUUUCCUGUUUAUGCUAAAAAAUUGAAUGAUCUGACCUCACUGGUCCACACCGAGCAACAACUGGGUAAAUCUUGCCAUUUUGGUUUUUUUUUUUUUUUUUUUUUUUUAGCUCAGGCAUCGGAUUUUUGUCCAGUUCAUCACAAUCUCUCCUCUUUACUAUUGUUUUAAACCCUUCUUUUUUGUUACCUGCCUGAGCCUGGGAGGUAUUUGAACUUAAAGACAUUACUUCAAUGCUUUAUACAGACUCAUUUCUCUGAAACACGAAUUUGAUCAUGUCACUCUCAUGUUUAAAAACCUUCGCCAGCCUGCUUGCCUGGUGGAUAAAGUUCAAACACUUGACCCUAGCAUAGAAGGGCCUCCAUAACCUAAUCUUUUAUCUCUGUGGCUCUUCCUAGCUCACACUCUGCCCAGAAGCCAUGCUGAAAGGCGGUGCUCUGUUGUACCCCUCUGUCCUCUGCCUGCUCUAAUGUCCUAUUUUUAGCUGAAUAUCUUUUCUUCAAUUUUUCAUCUGGUAAAUGUCUUCUCCUUAGUAUCAGCUCAUACUUUAAAAAAGUCCUUCUCGAACUUUUGUGCUUUCAUUACCUGCUUCUUCUUCACUUUCUGAGGACCUUGGACCCUCCUCUAUUGCAAUGGUAUUGCCAAGCCAAUUCUUUCUCCUUCUUCAGACUGUACAACCCUUAGGGCUCUGAGCCAUCUUUGCCUUUGGGAAUUUAUUGCAGAGUAGGUGAAUGGUGUUCACUGAAUAAAUGUUUCAGAUUGGAAAAUUUGAUCUUUCAUUUCCUUACCUAUAGGAUGGAACCGUAAUACCUUCUGUUCACAUACAGGAGAAUCAUUGUGGGGAUCAAAUGACACAAUGUCUUUUGUAAAAAUGUUAACAAAGCACUUGGAAACUGCAAAGUAAUAUAUGAGUAGAUGGAAUUAAUAUAGAAAAUGUUAUGUUCUCAACUUGCUUAAAAUAAUUUAACUGUGUUAUUUCUAGCAAGAACAGUGAUCUUGAAGGCAGGGCUAUAGUUCUUGUUUAUAGUUCCAAUUUUAUUGCCAAUUAGUUGGAUGACUUAGGGAAAGUAAUUUUGCCUAUCUAGACCUCAGUUUCCACAGCUGAGCUCUGGAAAUUUUAAGGUAUUUGUUAUGUCUUUCAUGUUUUUCUCCAGUCUUCCUAGAAGUAAAACAUUUUUCUUGUUUUCAAAGACUUUCAUUCUUCCACAUUUGGUAUGGUAUAUUAACCGUAAUACAAUAAUGAAUAUGCAGCCAUUCGUUUUUUCAUUAAAUAUGCAAAUCAUUGAGAAU